rfam:Streptomyces autolyticus strain CGMCC0516, complete genome.
GGUCACGAUUGUCAGCGCCCACCGUGCGGUAUCCCCGCUCAGGCGGGUCAUCGGCCCCGGCUCGCUGACAGGCAACCCUUCUUCCGCGACGGGGUGCCCCCGGGUGACGACCAGGUUCCGUCGGCGUGGACGGGACAAGCGCGGUCU